rnacentral:rRNA from 1 species
CCCUUAGAUGUCCUGGGCCGCACGCGCGCUACACUGACAUGUUCAACAAGCCUCCUAGUUCGACAGGAUUUGGGAAAUCUUUGAACGCAUGUCGUGAUAGGGAUAGAUCAUUGCAAUUAUUGAUCUUGAACGAGGAAUUCCUAGCAAACGCGAGUCAUCAGCUCGCAUUGAUUACGUCCCUGCCCUUUGUACACACCGCCCGUCGCACCUACCGAUUGAAUGUUUCGGUGAAGAUUCCGGAUAGGACUUUUUUGAUUUAUUUCAAUUUUGUCUUAAAAGCUAUCUAAACCUCAACAUUUAGAGGAAGGUGAAGUCGUAACA